CCCGUGGGAGGGGGAGCCGGGCCCGGCUGGCUGCGGGCGCCGUGCGGAGCUCGGCUCUGGAGCGCUGUGAGGGCUCGGCAGCUGAACGGGGUGUGCGUUUCAAAAACCAGAACCAUUCGGGUUGAAAGGGAUCUCUGGAGAUCACCCGCUCCCUCUGCUAAGGCAGGGUCACCUAGAGCGGGUGACACGGGAACGUCUCCAUGUGGGUUUGGUGUGUCUCCAGAGAAGGGGACUUGGCGCCCUCUCCGGGCAGCUGCUCCAGAGCUCUGCCACCCUGAGUGCAAAGUUCUUCCUGACUCUGACAUGGAUCUUCUUGUAUUUUAGUUUAUGGUCACUGCUCCUUGUUCUGUUGCUGGGCACCACUGAAUAAAGCCUGACUCCUACGCCUUGGCGCCCACCUUGGACAUACUUAUAUGUACUGAUGAACUUCCCUCUCAGCCUUCUCCAGACUAAACAGGUCCAGCUCCUGCAGUCUCUCCUCAUAAGAGAAAUGCUCCAGACCCAUCAUCAGCUUUAGUCAGAUGGCUACUGACAUAUAAUUAUUUUUUUAAAAACUAUUUAGAGGAUUGAAGAUGUCAGAUUUGUGAAGCAAUAACACUUUUACUAUGGUGCCAUAAGAAUACUGCCUCCGGGAGAUUCAGAUAUAGAGAGCUAGCUUGUGCAAAUUCCUUGUGGUAGUGUAUUUAGCUGGAUUAGUUCCUUUAAACAAAUCUCCUCGGGCUUAAGUUUUAAAUUAAAAUAGCGAGCAGUCCUGCUGAAGUUUAAGAAAUAGUUAUAUUACUGUUAUAGAAAUAGAGAAUAUAAUAUUACAUAGCUAUAGAAAUAGAGAAUUUGGUAUGGAAAUUCAUCAAAUCAGGACUAGCCUAUAUAUUCAGCCUCUUUAAAAGAUUUUCUCUUAGGAAUGUGGAUAGAAAACGAGUGGAAAACCUGUUUUACCUUCCCUGGGUUUUCCCAGUGUGCCUGUACCCACAGCACGACUGUUCAGCCUGUCAGAAUGAGUGAAGAAAAUAGUAAAGAUGCUGCUGUGAGAUGUGGUUCUGCCUCAGCAUGACCUUUUGGCAUUUGCUGCCUUUAGCAAAGUUCUGCUCAGUACAAGUGAAGGUCUGAAAGGGAGAGAGUUAUUAAUAAUUUAUUAUAAAUCAGUUAUUGAUCGCACGAAGAGUAAGCUCUCUAAAAAUGAACAUAAGCAAUGGUGUUUGUCUCAAGGAUUCUAUUACUCAAGCUGAGAUAGCAACAAAGUAUUUUGAAGGUUAAUUAUGGACCAUAUGAUGGCAGCAACAGCUGGAAGAAGAGAUUCAAAUAUUUCAUCCUUGAGAUCACCACCUCAAGCCUUAACAAUGGAAAUAUCUAAAAACAGCAGAUGAAUUUCUUACUGUACCAGCAGAAGCAGAAUGAGUUAAGUAUGGUGCCAAGCUGUAGGUGAUAAUGUCUGCAUUCAGAAAGCACUGACUCUGCCUUUGCACAUGAAGAGUGGUCUCAGAACAUGCUCCAGCACUGCAGCCCCUCUGCCCUGCCACAUGCUGUCUCCACAGCUGUCUCAGGCUGCCCAUGAGGAGCCUGAUCACUUGGAUCUAUGGGAAUGGAGCUGCUCAGCUGUUUGAAGUAGUGGGUGCAUAUUUACCCAUAUCCAGGAUUCAAAUAUUCAGAUAUCACAGUUUUGAUCUACUCAAAACUGGACUGCAGGGGAGUCCCCAAGAGACUUUGAGGUGCACUGACUGAUUUAGAAAAUCUCCUAGGUGAC